rnacentral:misc_RNA from 1 species
GAUGAAGAACGCAGCGAAAUGCGAUACGUAAUGUGAAUUGCAGAAUUCAGUGAAUCAUCGAGUCUUUGAACGCACAUUGCGCCCCCUGGUAUUCCGGGGGGCAUGCCUGUCCGAGCGUCAUUGCUGCCCUCAAGCACGGCUUGUGUGUUGGGCCUCCGUCCUCCUCCCGGGGGACGGGCCCGAAAGGCAGCGGCGGCACCGCGUCCGGUCCUCGAGCGUAUGGGGCUUCGUCACCCGCUCUUGUAGGNNNNNCCGGCGCUUGCCGACACAUCAAUCUUUUUUCCAGGUUGACCUCGGAUCAGGUAGGGAUACCCGCUGAACUUAAGCAUAUCAAUAAGCGGAGGA